GCCGGGGGGAAACCGCUCCCGUCCUCCUGCGCUGCUCCGCUGCGGUGCUCUCCGCUAAGACGAGCAGCAAAGAAUGAAUACCUUUGACUGAUGUCUUGCUGACUGAUAUUCAUGAAACGAACUCUGUUCAGCAAAUGUUGAUCUCAAUCCAUGAAGGGCAUGCCACACUUGGCAGCAGCUGUAUAAGACUUGCUGAUCCAGGAUUUCUUGUGGAUCUGGACCUUGCUUUUAACCCUUGGCGGUACAGGGAACAUCACUCCUCCCACUCCCCUGACCAGCCUGUGUGUGCUGUAUCUGCUUGAUUCUGACCAGAGAAGAUUCUGUUGGAUGUGGCCAAGAUGCAAGUGUCCAACUUCUCUACCAUGCUUGAGAGGUCAAGUGGCACAGAUCUGCAUGGAUUGCUCUCUAGUCAUUCAUUCAGCCUGAAAGUUGUCUGAUUCCCGAGGGAGAUUGCCAGCCUAUGCUCUUUCUGAGGUAUAGAGCAGGAAGGGGAGCUUGUGUGUGAUAAGGCAAAGGAACAGUCUUAGCUUGCCAUGAAGAAACAAAGGAAUUACAGAGA